rnacentral:rRNA from 1 species
CCCUUAGAUGUCCGGGGCUGCACGCGCGCUACACUGAAGGAAUCAGCGUGCUAGAAAACCUUGUUUGACAUGGCUAGGUAACCCGUUGAAAAUCUUUCGUGAUUGGGAUCGGGACUUGCAAAUGUGUCCCUUGAACGAGGAAUUCCCAGUAAGUGCGGGUCAUAAGCUCGCGCUGAUUACGUCCCUGCCCUUUGUACACACCGCCCGUCGCUGCCCGGAACUGAGCCGUUUCGAGAAGACUGGGGACUGCGAACUUUGGGCUGGAAAACAGCUUUUUGUUUGUGGAAACCACUUUAAUCGCAGCGGCUUGAACCGGGCAAAAGUCGUAACA